GGGAGCUUCCCCUGACGGGCUUAUCGAUUCCGGGAUUCUGGAGGUUAAGUGUCCAUACAACAAGGGGAAGCCGGAGCUCGGGCUACCAUGGAAUAUAAUGCCAUACUACUACAUGCCCCAGGUACAGGGCCAGAUGGAGAUCAUGGACCGUGACUGGGUCGAUUUGUAUUGCUGGACGCCAAAUGGGAGCAGCAUUUUUCGAGUGAAUCGC
rnacentral:misc_RNA from 1 species